UAGAAUUAUUGAGAAUCCACAGUUUUUCACUAAUUAAUCAUUAUUACCUGGUCUUCUUCCACGUGUUUGUUUAAUACUCCUGGUGUGGAAAUGGUGUCACUAGAUGGCACUAGAGGACCGAACCUGUAAUGGAAAUCAUAGAGGAUUGUCCAAUCACUGUCUAACCUUAAUUUUAAUUUUAAUAUAGAGCUGCUAUAAAUGUCGAUCAAUUUAGUAUAUUCUUAUUUAAAUUAGAUUUAUAUUAGCAAUAUAUAUUAGAAUGUAACGAAAAAAGGAAUCUUAGGAUGGUUGUAUCAUAAAUGUUGUUUCAAAAGAUAGGAAAGAUAGCAUAAUAAUACAAUAACUGCCUGUUUCUCAAAUAUUCUUAUUAGGAAUCUUUAUUUCCAUAGCGUAAAUGAAUUAUUCCACAACCAACUGAUUUCCCACAACAAAAAUGAGAGUUUUAAGAAUAGGCUACUUUUAUUGUCAUAGGCCUUUUUGAAUUCAAAGCUAAGUGUUGUAGUUGGUUGUUGUACAAUGUAUAAUAGUAGCAGCAUAUAUCAAUAUAUAUAAAUAUAUUGGACUUAAAUUUAAUUAUCAUUUGUUUAAUAAAAACUUUGUGAAUGCCCUCUUAUUUUUUUUUUUUUUCUUAUAUAUGAUGUUAAUUAAUUAAUUGUCUCCGACUCAGAUUAUGAUUCAAAUUAUUUUUAUGGCAGUGUUCAAUGGAACAAAACCAUUUUCUGGGACAUUAAAAAUGCUUCAGACAAACAGGAAGUACUGUUAAAUGUUAAAUACCUCACUGUAAACACAUGAACCAGGAUGACAAGAUAAAAUGUAAAAAGAUACACUGAUGUAGUAACAGGAAUUUAAAUAUACUUUUGCCAAUGGGGGUCUGUUUCACAAAUGAUCUGGUUAUAAAAAAAAUCAUCCAAACCUCCAUGUUUACACACUCAGCUGGAUUAAGAUGAAGAUGUUAGGCACUCAUGCCUGGCUUCUCUUAUUGUUCCUAGUCCAAACUGACAGGAACCAGGUUUCAGCCCUGUGUUCAGCCCCCACAAUGCUCUGCUGUACUGGCAGGAAUGACAAAUGCCAUCAAGGAUCAUGUUUUUGUGAUGAAUUCUGCAAGUCUGACUGCUGUCCUGAUUACAUUCAAACAUGUAUUCUACGUAAGACAAAAUAUACACUCUAUAAUAUAAUCAGCUCAACCGUGCCUAAGAAAAAAGACACAUGCAGAUUAUUUCCAUAA
rnacentral:lncRNA from 1 species